rnacentral:lncRNA from 1 species
CUGGGCUAUACUCUACGCCUCCGUUUGGUUCGGAGUUAAGAAAAAAGUAGCUAUUCCAGAGAUAGGGUUAAGUUCAGGGUUAAAGUAGGGUUAAAAUUUUUUUGUGUUUGGUUGGGGGUUGGAGUUAGUCUAGAAUAAUAAAAAAUAGUGUUUGGUUGGAGUAGGUGGGAUAAGAAGAUAAUGAUUGAUAAAGAAGGAUAAUGAUUGGUUGAAGUAUGUGUGAUAAGAAAGAUAGUGGAUUAUUAUGAAUAGAACAUAGUGUUUGGUUGGAGUUUGGUGGGGUUAGAUGGAGUUAGCUAACCCGGGAUAAUUUAUUUGAGGUGGGGUUAGUUAACCCCAUCUAUUUUUUGGGUGUUUGGAAAUAAAAUGGGGGUUAAGGGGUU